AGCAACAGCCACACCACCCUGCAGCCUAAGACUGGUUACUCACUGAAGCCAAGCAGGGCUGAGCCUGGUCAGUACCUUGACGGGAGACCAUUUGGGGAAACUAGGAUGAUGUUGCAA
ensembl:rRNA 5S_rRNA 5S ribosomal RNA